UACGAAGGGGGGCUAGCGUUGCUCGGAAUCACUGGGCGUAAAGGGUGCGUAGGCGGGUUUUUAAGUCAGGGGUGAAAUCCUGGAGCUCAACUCCAGAACUGCCUUUGAUACUGAAGAUCUUGAGUCCGGGAGAGGUGAGUGGAACUGCGAGUGUAGAGGUGAAAUUCGUAGAUAUUCGCAAGAACACCAGUGGCGAAGGCGGCCAACUGGGCCAUUACUGACGCUGAGGCGCGAAAGCGUGGGGAGCAAACAGG
rnacentral:rRNA from 1 species